rnacentral:rRNA from 1 species
UACGGAGGGUGCGAGCGUUGUCCGGAAUCACUGGGCGUAAAGGGCGCGUAGGUGGCCUGUGGAAGUCUGCGGUGAAAGCCCGGCGCUCAACGCCGGGUCGGCCGUGGAUACUCUCGGGCUCGAGCUUACUAGAGGCAGAUGGAAUUCCGGGUGUAGCGGUGGAAUGCGUAGAGAUCCGGAAGAACACCCGUGGCGAAAGCGGCUCUCUGGAACGGUACUGACGCUGAGACGCGAAAGCGUGGGGAGCGAACAGG